rnacentral:lncRNA from 1 species
UGAAUUAGUCUUACAUUAUAUAAAAAAAGCAAAUUAAUACAAAAAAUCCUUAAAAGUUGAUAAGAAAUGGAAAUCAGUAGAUUAAAGGUAGAUCAUGUUUGUCAGCGGUGUGUAUCUAGCUGACUUACCUAGCUAAUGAUUUUGUUUGUACAAUGCCUUUUGCUGGAUGUCUGUGGCAACCUAGAUACCUAGUUAGGAUGGGAAUUGGAACUGAACUUCUGGAGUCUGAAGGUAGCACAUACCAAAAACAUAGGCUAAGUUAGGAGAGGGGAAGGAAGUUCAGUCAGCCUAGAAAGCAGGAUUGAAAAGUAAUGGUGUCUUCUAUAGCAAGAAGAAUUUCCACAAAUUGAGAUAUACGGAAGUGCAUCACUUUCAUUAUUGUCUCUCUCUCUCUUUUUUUUGCUGAGGAAGGUUUGCCUCAGCUAACAUCCAUUGUCAAUCUUCCUCUUGUUGUAUGUAAGCCACCACCACAGCAUGGCCACUGACAGACAAGUAGUGUAGGUUUAUGCUCAGAAACCAAACCCAGGCUGCUGAAGCAGAACACACCAAACUUAACCACUAGGUCACCAGGGAUGGCCCUUUAUUGUUUUAUAGCUGUAAUUAGUAUCUGUCUUGAGUUUACUCUUUCUGAAAAUAGAAAAUUUAAUCUGUCAUUCUCAGAUAAACUGAAUAAAGUUCAGCCAUGUUGACACCAUUUUCAGUAUUUAGUAUUUCGAGUUUCUAUCUCCCUCCUCUUGGGUUAUGUUUAUACCUAAAGGAGCUCAGAUUUCAUGCUAGCAUCUUGGGGUUGGCCUUUGGAAAAGAGUGUCUGGUUUGUGCUGCCCCCAUCCUUUGUGGCCCCUGGUUCUUGAAAGCUGGCAUCUGCCCCAUCACCAACCGCUGCUGAGGUCUGCUUUCCUGUCAGUUUCUGACUUUUGUGCACAAUAACUCUGCUGAGUGUCCCUCUGUCAAAGCCAUGAGAUCUCUUAGAAUUUUCUACCUUCCCUGAGUCAUUGCUGUGCUCAUCUGGGGUGCUCAGGAAACACUAGAUGCCCUCCCAUAUCCUUCUGUGGCCUUCUGCUACUUAGGAAGCUGCCUCAGUUCAUGUUCUUCUGGGCCUUUACCUGCCAUCAUUUCUUUUCCUGGCUAUAGCACCAUGUUGGUGUAGGAAAGAACUCAGAAUGCCUUGUGGUCUGCUUUCAAAUCCUUUAAAUGUAAACAGAGUUUCUAUGCACUCCCUGCUCCCAACACAUUGGGCAGAGUGUGUGUGUGUUUGUGUGUGUGUGUGUGUGUGUGUGUGUGUGUGUGUAAGUUCCCUGUUCUGAAAUUCACACUAGAAGUUUAUCCCAUUGGUCUUUUCUCCAUCUACUAUGUGCUUCCUUAGCAAAUCUCCUAACUUAUAUCCUACUGGUGAGAAAAAAUCAGCUCUUAUAUUAACUUGCUUCCUUUGCUAUUCAUAAUGUAAACAUUAAGAACUUAGCUUUGUGAAGUAAAAACAAAAAGAAAAUGACAACAAAACACCUUUAUGCAUGUCUGUUUUUGGACAGCCUAGAUUUAAAAAAAUCCUGAGGGAGAAAAAUUUAGGUGUUAUAUCAAGUGGAUUUUUUUUUGUCCUAAUUGAAAAUAAAUUUUGGAUAAUUUUAGUUACUGACAGGCUAAGUAGAUUUUCAUGUCCCCUAAGUAAGGCCAUGGUUACUAAAUGCUUCAUAUAUAUCCGUGCACAUGAUUCAGCCCUUUGGGACACAUCAUAGUCUCUAUGCUGUAGAAGGGGGCAGCAACGGACAUACCACUUUCACUGUAUCUUACUAAGCAUUAUUUCUUUCCUCUCUCAAUCACUAUGUUUAUGUGACAUACUAUCUUGUGACUGCUUUCCCUGACACCCAUAAUCCUUUUGUGAUAUUUCAUCCUGCUCAGAACCUUAGACAUCAGCUGGUUUCCCUAAUUUCCUCCACUCACCAGGAAUUAUUCAUUGUUCUUAUUCCCUCUGUUCAGGCAUAUGUCCCAUGUCCCCCUCAGGCUAGUUGUCAUGUCACACAACAUGUUGCUACUGAUAAUCUUGGAAUUAUCUUCCCCUCAAACCAGUGGUUAAUGUAAUGAUUGUUUUGGUAUUUUUUUUAUUAAUCUAUAGCAAUGCAAUUUGUGUUCAACACUGUUGUUUUUAAAUGUCUAUUGAUAAUUUACAAUUUACUGUUCCUUUUGCACAAAAUGCUAUUAAAUAACAUCGAGUAAUUAGUUACGUACACAUGUCCAGGAUUUUAUAGACUUAUAACCGAGCAAGCCAUUUUAAGAGUUUCUUUCUUGGUAGAGACAUUUAUAGGGAAAGAGUGGUGAGAUUCAAAAAUAAAUUUAGUUCAAGGCCUGAUGACAGUGAACUGGCUUAGGUGGGUUACUAGUUUGUUUACAGAGAUUUUAAUCCAGUUAACAUCCAUCAGUACCUGCUUAAACCAAUUUUAUCUUGGAACGAGUCUGUAUAUUAGAUUACGAAAAAAGAUUCUGUCUCAGAGCAGAUUUGGAAGAGUUUUUAAUGUAAAGUUCUCCUUUUGACUCAGACAAACUUCAAAGAUUUGUCUUAGCAGAAAAACAGAUUCUCCUUGCAUAUUUGUGCUAAGAUCAUUCAUUGGAUUUUUUUUUGUUUAGUCAAUCACUUUUACAUUUUUUAUAAAUGGCGAAAAUUAGACAUAUGCUUAAUUUAUGUGAUAUGUAUGGAGUCUUGCUUACCAGGUCAUCCACAAUGUUGCAUUAUAUAAUUGAUGUUCCUUUUCCUAUAUAAAAGGAACACAGUAGUCCUCCCUUAUCUGCGGUUUUGCUUUCCAUGGUUUCAGUUACCCAUGGUCAACUGUGGUCCAAAACUAUGAAAUGAAAAAUUCAUUAAGUCCAAUUAAAGGUGUUGAUUAAUGCUCUAGCUGUUUGUUUAACAAAACUAGAACUAUUCCAUACUAAGGACAGAGAACUAACUUCUGUUCAGAGAUUUCAAAAAGAAUCCAGGCUGCAUUGUUGUCCCAGAAUUUCCUUUUCUCUCUUCCCCUCCAUGCCCUUUCUUCUAUUCUCUUCUCUGUCCCCUCCUGAUUCAUCCCCUCCUCCCUCAACUCUUUCUUUCCCUCUUUCCUCUCCUCACUCUUCUACUUUUCACUUCCUUUUCCUUCACUUUUUCUUUUAAUUUGUCUUCCUUCCUUUCUUCCUUCUUUCCUAUAACUGCUCUUGUCACCUUGUCUACUCUGAGGCAAAGGACCAAAGAACAAGUGGCUGUUUUCUUCUAGGGUUACCCACCAUCCUUAAAAAUGUAGGGCUAUCAUUUUUCCCUCUGGGAACCCAAAAUUCAUCACUGUAUCUGGCCUGCCAGGAGUGAUGAUGUAGAUUCCCGUAAGGCUAGAACUUUAUUAGUCACAGAGUAGGUAGAAGCCCAAACUCCAUGUAUGAAAUGUAGUCUUGAUUCCUUGAGAGUGGGCUUGUCAUACUUAAUUAAAUGAGCUUAGCCUUCAAGCAUGACAUUUCUGGUAUGGUUAUGAUUAUAAAUUUGGUUUAUCUAACUACAUUGAAACUAGGCAAACCACUAUGUUGCCAUGAGCGGUACAGGGAAUCAGUAAAGGCACUGUGCAUAAUAUUUGACCUAUUUCAGAAGUAGUAUCACAGCGAGUCCAAUCCACACACAUGCUAUUUUUACAGAAUCGUCAGAAAUGCCAUCAGUGGUUUGAUUAUUUAAAGAUAUUUUGUGGUUAGAAUAAGUGAACUUUAUCCCAACGUCUUUUAACUAAAACAAUUGUGAUUUUUUUUCUGUGUUCAAGCCAUUUUAAAAUCUCUCCUGAAUUCUAAACAUUAGAGGCUUUCUAGUUAAAUUAUUUUGAGAAUCUGCUAGUUUCAUUUAUAGUUCUCAUAUUAAGAAUUCAAACAUGCACAGCCUUUUUGUAGAUUCCACUGGAUUUUCAACAUAGCCAAUUAAAUCUUCUGUGAAUAAUGAAUUUUACUUCUUUCUUUCCAAAAUGGAUUUUUUUAAAAUCUUUGUUAUUCUUGCCUUAUUGCUCUGGCUAAAAUCCCCAGUACAAUGUUGAAUGGAAAUUGUAAGACCAGACAUCCUCGUCUUGUUCCUGAUAUUAAGGGGAAAACAUUCACCAUUAAGUGUAAUGUUACCCGUAGGUUUUUCAUAAAUACCCUUUAUCAGGUUGAGGAAGUUCCCUUCUAUUCUCAGUUUGUUAAAAUAUUUUUUUUAUCAGAAAAGGAUUUUGUCAAAUGCAUCUAUUUGACAUCCAUUGAGAUAGCAUAUGGUUUUUCUUUUUUUCUUUUUUUUUUGAGGAAUAUUAGCCCUGAGCUAAAAUCUGCUGCCGAUCUUCCUCUUUUUGCUGAGGAAGACUGACCCUGAGCUAACAUCCGUGCCCAUCUUCCUCUACUUUAUAUGUGGGAUGUCUACCACAGCAUGGCAUGCCAAGCAGUGCCAUGUCCACACCCUGGAUCUGAACCGGGGAACCUGGGCCACUGGAGCAGAAUGUGCGCACUUAACAGCUGCACCAUCGGGCCGGCCCUGGUUUUUCUCUUUUAGUUGUUUAAUAUGGUGAAUUACAUUGAUUGAUUUUCAAAUGAUAAACUAAUUUUGCAUUCCUGAAAUAAACCUCUCUUAUUCAUGAUAUAUUAUACAUUUUAUAUAUUACUGGAUUUGGUUUUCUAAAAUUUUGUUUUGAAACUUUGCAUCUAUGUUCCUGAGGGAUACUCAUCUGUGGUUUUCUUUCCUUGUAAUAUCUUUGUCUGGUUUUAGAAUCAUAGUAGUGCCCUUUCUUUUAGAAUGAAUUGGUAAGUGUUCCUCCUUUUCAAUUUCCUGGAAGAGUUUCUGAAGAAUUGAUACUAUUUCUUUCUAGAUAUUUGUUAGAAUUCACCAGUAAAGCCACCUAGGCUAAGAGUUUUCUUUGUCAGGAAGUUUUUAACUAAAACUUUAAUUUCUUUAAUACAUGUAGAUCUAUCCUGGUUAUCUGUUUCUUCUUGAGUGACCUUUAGUAUUUUGCACCUUUCAAAGAAUUCUAAGCUGUCAAGUUUAUUCAAUUUAUUGGUUCUCCUUUCUAUACCAAAACCUAUAGGAAAUUCUAUCAAAGAAGGUGGUUGGGGCAACUAUGGGGCUCACCUCAUUUAUUUUCCAUCACUCAAAGAUCAUUGUCUUUCAUUGCCUGAUAUCCAAAGUCUCGAAAAUCCUUCAUACAUUUUGUAUGUCUUUUGGUUUUUUUAGGCAGGAGAGGAAAUCCAGUCCUUGUUUCUCCAUUUUGGCCAGAAGAAGAGGUCUUGACCCAGGUGUUUUAAACCUAGGGAUAAAAUUUUCCUAGAAGUCAAUUUGGUGGGAGUCAUUGUGUCAGCCCAUGUUUAUGAACAUGAAGAUGCUUCUAUCCAUCUUUAAAAGUUAUGCUCAUAUUGAACCUGAAGUGAGUUUGCUCACCUGUUGCACAGCAAGCCAAUUUCUGAUGCUGGAGGAGGGAGUCCGUGACCUUGCUGGUCAGCAGCUUUCGCACCAGCCUGUAUCUCUUUGCAAAGAGGAGAUAAUGAAUCCAGGGCUUGUCCUUGGUGGUGUCUGUCUCCAUGGAGGAUAGUGGAUUCUGGAGAAAGAAAGCCAGGGAGUAAGCAGGGGAUGAGUGUUUUGGUUUUAAUCCCAUUUAUGCUGGGUUUAAUGUAGGGAAACUGAUAUCAGGGUUGGUAUAAAUUCCCCCCUAUUUUAUGUCCAUCCCUCAGUCUUGAGGGGUUUGGGGUGGUGACCAAUCUAGCUACUUCCUUCUGAAAUGGGGUGUAGGUAGUUUCAUCUCAUUGAACCAGUCUUUUAAUAAGGCAGUGAUUCUGGUGGGCUCCUGAAGUUAGGCCUGUAUCAUGUAAAUAAGUAACCAGGUAUUUAAUAAGAAGUUUUUCUAGAGAAAUAAAAAGAGAAAAACAAGGUUAAUGGUUGGAGCAAAUUAUAAACCAGUUUUCGAGACCAAGGGCAGCCAAUAAAGAUUCCUGGAAGUCAGGGGCAAAGCAUCUUUUGCAGUUUGAAAUGUCUCUGAUGGCAUCAUUGGGCACUCAGGUAACUUCUUGAGUGCCUUACACAGCACUAGACGUGAAUCUCUGUUAAGUUUAUAUUAAGUUCUCCCACUUCAGUUUGCAAGGCUUCAAGAAAAAGGGCAGAUUUACUUUUCAAUGACUCCAAAUGAAAAUGAUGGGGAAAAUACCUGAAAAUGUUAGUUUGGAGGUUUGUAGCCAGAUAUUUCAGGAGACUAAAAGAAUUCAGGAUCUAGUCCAGUUAACAGAUGUAACAAAAAUCUUAAAGACAAUUGACAGAACCAAAACCCAAUAGCCACAAAUGUGUAUUAUAGUUUCUAUUGAAACAUAAUCUUUUUCUAUUGAAACAUAAUCUUUCUCUCUAAAAUCACCCUUAAUUUCACUAGACAUAGCCAAAUUAAGACUAACUGGUUUGGGGUAACAUAAGUCUAGUUUUAAUAAAUUUGGCAUAAUUAUUUACGUAAGUACAGUAAGAAUACUAAUUGAUUACAUAGGCUUUUUAAAAUCUGCCUUGCUGGAACCUCAUAAGGAAUCUCAGGGUGAACUUUAAAGGCCUUUUGAGGUCAGGAAAUUCAAGCAAAUGACCUGUCAUCAGAUUUUGCAUGCAGUACCUACAGAUGUGGCUGAAUCCCUCUCUUUGUGACGUUCCCCAAAAUAUUGCUGUUCCUUGUGCCUGCCAAAGGGCGCGACAUUCUUUGCUCAACCUUACUAGGUCACUGAACCCAUAAGCUGGGUACCAGGUCAACAUUUCUAAGUGGUUUUAUUCCAGAAUGUCAACCUUCAUUCCUCAAAAGCUGUCUUGUCAUAUCCGAGUUUGUAUGUUUCUCUCAAACAUGACAUUCCAAUCAAAGCCUUGGUAAUAUGACCAGUGUUUCCAAAUGUGUUCUAAGAAGAACAGAUUCUUAUUGGACUUAUGCAAACAACCAUAUUGCCAUAAGAAUAAGAAUACUUACUAAUCAGGAAUUUUUACAUUUUGGAGGGCUAGGGAUAGGGAGAUAAAGAUGAAUGUUUCAAUUUUGUUCACAUUUGCUAUAAAUCAUAGUUCCUUAAGAGAAUAGAAGAAAAGUUUUUCUUAAAACUGGAAAAAAACAAAACAUCAAAAAUCAGCAAUAUCUCAAUCAAAAAGCCAUAAAGAUAAUAAUCAUCCCUAUUGGUUUAUUCAGUUCUGUGUAAUUGGUUCUUCAUCUUAUUAACAGUUUGUGAAGUCAUCAGUUUCUCUGUUAGAGUUCUGUAAUGUUUACCCAGGUUAGUUUUAUAAUCUCAAAGUUUAUUGGAAACCUGUGUUCUAGAGUGUUGGAGUCCUCUCCAUGAAUUUCUCUGAAGAUGAAACAUAUUUGCAAAAACAUCAAAGUAAAACAACUGUCUGCAAAUAACAAAACAUUCAAAAAUGGUAAUCGACAAAGGCAUUUGACUAUGUUUGUGAUAUACAACAUUUUGAGAUAAACAAAACUAUGGCUGACAAUCAGAUCAGAUAAUUUUUAAAAUGCUUAUAUCAAUAACACUCAUUUACAUAAUACCAUUUAAGAAAGUUUAUCAUUACUUGUUUGACAAUUCAUCUUAUGUAAUUUAACAUACAAAAUAAGCCUUAUUAGUUUAGUAUUUUUCUUAUAGAAAGAAAGUCAAUUUCUCUGAGAAGUCCCAGGGGCCUUCUGAAAAUCCCCAGAGAAACUUUCCCUCCUCUUCUAGGUCAAAAGAAAGCUUUUAUUCAGGACUUGAAUAUUUGUGUGUGGGGAGGAAGCUAGUCAAAAAUAUUAAAAGCUUUAAAACAUUUGAUCAAAUAGGAAACCAGGAUCACUGUGAAACCAUGUUCAGGUGUGUCUAUUCGAAGUGACAACAGAAACAGUUAAGGGGAAACAGAGUUAAAAUAGUCAAAAAAAGCCAGUUUAUAAUUUUUUUUCAAGAGCAGAUUAAAAGUUUAGGAAAAUUAUCCUUUUAAGAAAGAGGAAUUCAAGUUUUAAUUUGUACCAGUUUACUUUUGAUAUUGAAACUUAUUCACUUAAUAAAUUUAUGUUAGUCUUAGCCAACUUGGCCAUGCACAAAAUUUUACAGGGUUUUACUUUCACGAAUAUUUUGUUGCUUUUUUUAAUAUUUAGAAUUUGUCCCAGUACUUUAGGAUAAAUUUAUCUUUCUUAACUCAAGAAACAAAAAUAUUUCCAUUUUUAUACCUUUUUUUAUUGAAAACAUAUAUUUUACUUUCUUUGUAUACAGACUUUUUAGAAAUAUGUGUUUUCCCACAGAAAAUUCCUCAGCAUACAUAAAACAUGUUUAUUAAUAAACCUAAGUACUUUUCAGUUUCUUUGAUAUAAGAAACCAAAGGCAGACAAAUAUAUGCUUAGUAGUUAACCUUUAAUAUUUUACCCUAUGUGGAAAUGACCUAGAUACUCAAUAAUCUGUUAUUAUUUAACUUAACUUAGUAAAGUUAUAGAGUUUAAGUUCCCAAAAAGAUUUUGGAAGCUGUUUUUUAAGUAUUCAGGCUAUAAAACAUAAUUAUUGUACUUAAAACGCUUACCCAAUUUUAAUAAUCAUGUUUAAAUUAUUCUUAAAAACUUUAUGUGACAUUAAAGCAGUUAACAUCAUCUUAAAUUGUUUUAAGCAUAUACAUCAUAUUAUACGUAAUUAUUAAAAAAAUAGAUACUUUUAUCCUUUUACAUUUGUUUACCUGUCUUUAGCAAUUAUAUUUAGAUCAUCUACAAAAACCUCAUGAGACAGUAAACAAAAUUAGCUAUUACACUGAGUUAUUACUCUCACUGACAAAUUUUGUAACGAGAGAACAUGAGCUCAUUUGAGCAGUAAACCCAGGCUGUACGUCUGCACCAUAUCAAGUGCUGAUAACUUUGAGGACAUGUCUAUUUUAAAUCAAAUCAGCAAACUUAAAUAGGCUUUUAUUUACCAAAGAUCAUUUUAUAUCACGUUAAAUAACUGUCUUUUAGAAGUUUUGACAUAGUAAUCGAAGACUGCAUUUUAUUAUGAGAGAUUUUGAAUCCUCUGUUUCCUGAAACAGUGUUUCUCAGAAUGCCCAUUACAAUUUUAAAUUGUCUCAAAAGUUUAUUUAUUUUUACUAGUUCAAUUUUAGAUCAGGAAUUUCAGGGGAUUUGAAGCAAAGCUCAUUUUGCUGGGAAGCUCAGCAAGAGAGUAGACAAAAACAGCAGAUUUGAGUUCGGCUGCUGUCAUGUUUAAUUAUUUAAUUAUUUUCUUUUAAAGAGGCAGUAAAAUAUUUCUAAUUUUAUUUAGAAGCCUCAAAAGAUUAAAACAGGCUCCCCAUUGUUGCAGCUGGCUUUUUCAAUUGCAUACAUCAGUUUGCGUGAACUGAAACUAGCCAAUUUAAGUAUAUCAAUUUUUACAUAACUUUAUCUUAAUUUUACCAACUCUUAGAUUUUUAAUUAUAACUUACAUUAGAAUUCCAUUAACAAGUUUCAGUAUUACAAUAUUGUGUAGGGGAAGCAUUACCAGUUAGACAUAAUGUUUAUUCCCAAAGAAAACAUCCAGGCAAAUUUGACAUAACCUCUUCAUAUGAUAUUAGCUUAAACACUUUAAAUUUAUAGUCUUACUAACCUUAGUAGCCUAACUUGCCUCAAACAAUUGCUGUUCAGGUUUUUCACUCUGAUUUUUGCCUCCUGAUCUUUUAAAAUUUUUUCAAACUGUGGUGAAUAAAACAGGUUUUUCUGAUGUCCUUUAACAUUGGGGGAUCAACAGGGGAUCCCUUUAGCCCAUACAACCUUAAGCAGUGUUUUAUUUAAACCUUUGUUUUAACUUUAUUUAUAUCUGUUCUGUUUGUCUCAUUUGUCUUUUUAAUAACUAGCUAAAGAUUUUUAUCCCAUUGGGAUGAGUCGCAUGACUCUUCCUUUUCUAAUUUCUUUUUGUUAACUCAAUGUUUUUAUUAGAAUCUGUAAGACUACAAGAAGAAACUGAGACCCCCAAGUUUGAUUAAGUCAUUGUAUUUUCCUUUUAAUUUGGUCUUUUUAUAGGUACCAAUAAAGCAGGUGUUAAUCAUGAGAGCUCUCCAAAAAGUUUCCCAACUUAAGGAUCCAUUGUUUGGUCAUUUUUUUUUUUCUCAGAAGUCUAACGAAUAUUGUGGCCACGUUGUGUUACAAAAUAAAAUUAUCCCUCUUUAGACAAUGGCUUAUAACAGUAGGUUGACCUGUCAGCCAAAGUUUUCCCAAAGGGCUCUUAGGUGGAAUAGAUGCUGCACCUCCAGUGUUUACACUUUUAAAAGGAAAGACAAACAGACAAACAAUAACAAAUACCAAACAAGCAUGCUAUCCUAAAAACCCUUGGCCACAAACAGAAGCCAAAACAAAGACCAAAACCAAAAACUGAAGUGCUUCUAGUCCCAGCUUAGUCCAUGUCCUACACUCACGGGGCGCCCAACAAAUGAAGAUAUGCUAUGCAAAUCUUCCCAAAUGAGCAAGGACAAGGGACCUUGGUUGUGCACACCUGGGGGACUUACCAAAAUUUGGCCGGGAUGUCGCAACUUCAAAACAAAUGGAACCCAGAAGGCUGCUGGGUGCCCAUUAUUUUUGGCUGGUCCUGCUGGAAAAGGUUAGCACAAGGACAAAGACAAAAGCUACCAGCUACUUAUGAGAGAUGUCUUCCUAAGUCCUAAACCUAGUUUCUUCCACCACCAAAGCAAAGCGCCAUGGGCCACUGACAUCUGGUUAGCAGCCAGUUGCUUGGGGCUGUCCCUGAGAAAAGGGGCUCAGGCAGCUGCAGGACAGCUUCCAAGAGAGGCCUUUAGCCAGAGGCUGGUGUGCCACAGGCAAGUGGUCCACCUGGGGCAUUGUCCCAUCUGGGUCACCAAAUUGAUAUCAAACCUGAAGUGAGUUCGCUCACCCAUUGCACAGCAAGCCAAUCUCUGACACCGGCGGUAGUGGAAGAAAGUAGGAAUUUAACUAUUGCACAGUGCUGAGCAAGGAGAGAGGGCAGCUAAUGCUGAAAUCCCAAACUCCCUGAAAAGCUAAAAGGAAGGGUUUUUAUUUGGGGUUUUAGGUAGGGGAGGGGGAGCAUAUGGCCUUGCUGGUUGGAGCUUUCCCACCAGCCUGUCUUUGGCCUUGAGACUACUUGCAGAGAGGAGGGAGCCUGUGACCUUGCUGGUCAGCAGCUUUCGCACCAGCCUGUAUCUCUUUGCAAGGAGGAGAUAAUGAAUCCAGGGCUUGUCCUUGGUGGUGUCUGUCUCCAUGGAGGAUAGCUGAUUCUGGAGCCAGGAAGCCAGGCAGUAAGCAGGGAAUGAGUGUUUUGGUUUUAACCCCAUAUAUGCUGGAUUUAAUGUAGGGAA